AAAGCUUGAAAAAUCUAUCAUAGGGAAAGAAGAAAUUCAAGUAGUGGAAACGACAGAAAACUGAAGCUUUAGCUAAUUCUCUUGUUACUAGUGAAUUGAAGAGCCUUUUUCAAUUGUUGUAGUGACUGAAUUUAUAUGUUCAGAUAUUUCCUUGGAUGUGAAUAAAAGAAAUGGAGUUCUUCAUUUCAAUAUUAUUGCUACCAUCCAAG
rnacentral:misc_RNA from 1 species